UACGUAGGGUGCAAGCGUUAAUCGGAAUUACUGGGCGUAAAGCGUGCGCAGGCGGUGAUGUAAGACAGAUGUGAAAUCCCCGGGCUCAACCUGGGAACUGCAUUUGUGACUGCAUCGCUGGAGUGCGGCAGAGGGGGAUGGAAUUCCGCGUGUAGCAGUGAAAUGCGUAGAUAUGCGGAGGAACACCGAUGGCGAAGGCAGCCCCCUGGGCUAACACUGACGCUCAGGCACGAAAGCGUGGGGAGCAAACAGG
rnacentral:rRNA from 1 species